AAGUCGUAACAAGGUUUCCGUAGGUGAACCUGCGGAAGGAUCAUUAUCGAGUUAGGGUCUUCAUGGCCUGACCUCCAACCCUGUGUUUAUUAUCCACGUUGCUUCGGCGGGUCCGUUCGGUCUCCGAGCGCGUUAACCUUCGGGUUGGCGAGCGCCCGCCAGAGUCCAACCAAACUCUUGUAUUAACCAGUCGUCUGAGUAUAAAUUUAAUUAAAUUAAAA
rnacentral:misc_RNA from 1 species